rnacentral:rRNA from 1 species
CCUACGGGGGGCAGCAGUGGGGAAUAUUGCACAAUGGGGGAAACCCUGAUGCGGCAACGCCGCGUGAAGGAAGAAGGCCUUCGGGUUGUAAACUUCUUUGAUAGGGGACGAUAAUGACGGUACCCUAAGGACAAGCCACGGCUAACUACGUGCCAGCAGCCGCGGUAAUACGUAGGUGGCAAGCGUUGUCCGGAAUUACUGGGUGUAAAGGGCGUGUAGACGGGAUUGCAAGUCAGAUGUGAAAGCCCCAGGCUUAACCUGGGAACUGCAUCUGAAACUGUGAUUCUUGAGUGUCGGAGAGGAAAGCGGAAUUCCUAGUGUAGCGGUGAAAUGCGUAGAUAUUAGGAGGAACACCAGUGGCGAAGGCGGCUUUCUGGACGAUAACUGACGUUGAGGCGCGAAAGCGUGGGGAGCAAACAGGAUUAGAUACCCCGGUAGUC